CUGCAAAGCAACCGUAUCACGAAUAUUGGUUAUUGUCUCAGAUAUGAAAUUGAGCUUUUUCAUUUCCUCUUUCAACAAUGAAAUGUCAACAACCAAAUCAUGUGGCUCACUUUUGCUAGCAGCUUUGCAGCUGCUUUAGUUAGAUUCGUGCAGCGCCUGUGCAUACGAGCGCCACAAUUUCCAACACAAGCAACCGGAUCAUCGCUGAUCACAAUACCAUCCUUACAUACACCACAUUCAUCCAUUGGCCUAAGCACGAGCGUAGCGAAAUACCAGCAAAAUAACACAACCAAAACAAACGAAAUUCAGUCAACAGCAGCUUGCGAUAAUCCCACUUGCUGCUGUUUUAGGGAUAAUGCUGAAAAUAAAUAUCAGUUGAUGUAGCAGCUUAUACUUAUGUUUUGCACUAUCAAUGACGCUUCCAGCUGGUUACAAUGUAUCACAAAAUUGAACAGGAUUUCACAAACAACUUUAAAUCUGAAGAAUGAAGAAUCCUUUACGGUCAAUCUGCUUGGAAUGAACCUAAACGAUACCUUCAGCCUCGGGUCAGUGCCUAUGGAUCAAUUCUGCAAUUAUGUCAGCAGCUAUCCAAAGUCUGCAAUCUGCUUUCCUCAACCAGCGGGAAUCAGCAACGAAAGAGUCUGCAACGAGGAGUGUACAUCGAUUACCAAGUAACAAUUUAAGUAGCGAUACGGUACCAAUUCUGUAGCUAAACCCUGCUCCUUCCAAGCCGUGACGCUAACCACUCAGCCACGGGAGUAGAAAAUUGUAACUUUUAAAUGGAACAUAUAUCAUCUUCACACGUUAAUCUAUUACGUUUCAAUAAAAUACUUUAACAUGCCGAUGUGGCACUUUGAUUCGCUGAACUUUUUAUUUUCUUAUUUUCUUUCAUUAUGGUUCCAAUAUUAACAACUCAAAAGUGAAGUGCCAUUUAUACGCAUUCAUCUAUUUCGUUACAAGUACAAUGUAUAUUCAAACACUGGAUGCAUCGAGAAUAAAUUAAAGCAGUAAACCUGGCAGAA